rnacentral:tRNA from 2 species
UCCCGGAUAGCUCAGUUGGUAGAGCAAGCGGCUGUUAACCGCUUUGUCGCAGGUUCGAGUCCUGCUCCGGGAGCCA